rnacentral:rRNA from 1 species
GGGCCCGCACAAGCGGUGGAGCAUGUGGUUUAAUUCGAUGAUACGCGAGGAACCUUACCAGGGUUUAAAUGUAAGUUGCAUGAUUCAGAAAUGAAUCUUUCUUCGGACUACUUACAAGGUGCUGCAUGGUUGUCGUCAGCUCGUGCCGUGAGGUGUCAGGUUAAGUCCUAUAACGAGCGCAACCCCUAUCGUUAGUUGCCAUCAAGUAAAGUUGGGAACUCUAGCGAAACUGCCGGUGCAAACCGUGAGGAAGGUGGGGAUGACGUCAAAUCAUCACGGCCCUUACGUUCUGGGCUACACACGUGCUACAAUGGCCGGUACAGAAAGCAGCCACUAUGCGAAUAGGAGCUAAUCUUUAAAACCGGUCUCAGUUCGGAUCGCAGUCUGCAACUCGACUGCGUGAAGCUGGAAUC